rnacentral:rRNA from 1 species
CGACACACUAUCGUUAACUGAAUACAUAGGUUAACGAGGCGAACCGGGGGAACUGAAACAUCUAAGUACCCCGAGGAAAAGAAAUCAACCGAGAUUCCCCCAGUAGCGGCGAGCGAACGGGGAGCAGCCCGGAGUCUGAAUCAGCUUGUGUGUUAGUGGAACGGUCUGGAAAGUCCGACGGUACAGGGUGAUAGUCCCGUACACGAAAA